UGAGAGAGUGAACACUACAAACCGCUGGGGAAAACACAGGCUAAGUAGUGCUAUUAAAGAAAAUUUAAAAUUAGAUUUCAAUUUGGACAAAAUUAGAUUCCAAUCUCUGGCAGUAUUCAAAAAGCUAUACCAGAAGUACAAAGACAACUUUAAGAAAGUAAAGAGCCUAAAAACAGAAUUGGAGUAGUACAUAGUAGUACUUCCUGUAUUACUUUUUUUCUAGCAGCAGAAUUAUUUCACCUAAAAGCAUUAAAAUACAGAUUCAAACUGGUGACGGAGCCCGCCGUCACCUGUUGAACAGUACCUGAAUGGGGGAGUGAGGAUGAAGAAAAAGACAAAGAGAUAGAGCCGGGAGGGCUCCCAGAGAUCGAGUGCCCAAGUUUAUUUUUCACCUUUCUUUUAUACACUUGGUGAGUUUGGUCAUUAAUCAUGACCCUUAUCCAGAGACACCUACUUCCCUGUUCUCUAGUUCUUUGGAAAUUCCCCACCCUCAUGGGCUUCUUUGUUUCUCGGGGUUAUAGAACGUUCAUCGUGUUUCCAGGACAAUUUCUGAAGGUAAACAUUUAGGUUGGCAGGGACGCGGUUCCUCAUAACACAGUCUCCUUGCUCUAUGCAAUGGAGGGUAAGAUUUAAUAUGGAGCCUCUAUGGCUAACACCGCUCUCCACAUCUCCCCGUUUUAUAUAUUAUGACCAAGGUCCCUUGAUCACGCAGAUAGACUGUGCCUGUCUUAGGCGAGGAAUAUAAAGAAAUCUCUUACCCGUCAUCGAGUCAAGAG
rnacentral:lncRNA from 1 species